rnacentral:rRNA from 1 species
AAUCACUUGUCUUUUAAAUGGGGACCUGUAUGAAAGGUAUUACGAGGGCUUAACUGUCUCCUCUUUCUAGUCAAUGAAAUUGAUCUCUCCGUGCAGAAGCGGGGAUCUAGCCAUAAGACGAGAAGACCCUGUGGAGCUUGAGACACCAGAGCAGCCCACGUCCAAAACCCCAUCAAAGGACCGAACUGAGUGGCAUCUGCCCCAAUGUCUUCGGUUGGGGUGACCAUGGGGAAAGCAAAACCCCCACGCGGACCGGGAGCACUAGAGGAACUUUUCCCAACCAUACAACCAAACUCCUAAAAGCUAGAGCCCCAACUCUAACUAAACGAAACAUUCGACCUAGACUGAUCCGGCAUAGCCGAUCAACGGACUAAGUUACCCCAGGGAUAACAGCGCUAUCCCCUUCCAGAGCCCAUAUCGCCAAGGGGGUUUACGACCUCGAUGUUGGAUCAGGGCAUCCUAAUGGUGCAACCGCUAUUAAGGGUUCGUUUGUUCAACGAUUAA